GACGAACGCUGGCGGCGUGCCUAAUACAUGCAAGUAGAACGCUGAAGAGAGGAGCUUGCUCUUCUUGGAAGAGUUGCGAACGGGUGAGUAACGCGUAGGUAACCUGCCUUGUAGCGGGGGAUAACUAUUGGAAACGAUAGCUAAUACCGCAUAACAAUGGGUGACCCAUGUCAUUCAUUUGAAAGGGGCAACUGCUCCACUACAAGAUGGACCUGCGUUGUAUUAGCUAGUAGGUGAGGUAACGGCUCACCUAGGCGACGAUACAUAGCCGACCUGAGAGGGUGAUCGGCCACACUGGGACUGAGACACGGCCCAGACUCCUACGGGAGGCAGCAGUAGGGAAUCUUCGGCAAUGGGGGCAACCCUGACCGAGCAACGCCGCGUGAGUGAAGAAGGUUUUCGGAUCGUAAAGCUCUGUUGUAAGUCAAGAACGAGUGUGAGAGUGGAAAGUUCACACUGUGACGGUAGCUUACCAGAAAGGGACGGCUAACUACGUGCCAGCAGCCGCGGUAAUACGUAGGUCCCGGGCGUUGUCCGGAUUUAUUGGGCGUAAAGCGAGCGCAGGCGGUUUGAUAAGUCUGAAGUUAAAGGCUGUGGCUCAACCAUAGUUUGCUUUGGAAACUGUCAAACUUGAGUGCAGAAGGGGAGAGUGGAAUUCCAUGUGUAGCGGUGAAAUGCGUAGAUAUAUGGAGGAACACCGGUGGCGAAAGCGGCUCUCUGGUCUGUAACUGACGCUGAGGCUCGAAAGCGUGGGGAGCGAACAGG
rnacentral:rRNA from 1 species